rnacentral:rRNA from 1 species
GACGAACGCUGGCGGCGUGCUUAACACAUGCAAGUCGAACGAGAAGAGAUGAGAAGCUUGCUUCUUAUCAAUUCGAGUGGCAAACGGGUGAGUAACGCGUAAGCAACCUGCCCUUCAGAUGGGGACAACAGCUGGAAACGGCUGCUAAUACCGAAUACGUUCUUUUUGUCGCAUGGCAGAGGGAGGAAAGGGAGGGCUCUUUCGGAGCUUUCGCUGAAGGAGGGGCUUGCGUCUGAUUAGCUAGUUGGAGGGGUAACGGCCCACCAAGGCGACGAUCAGUAGCCGGUCUGAGAGGAUGAACGGCCACAUUGGGACUGAGACA